rnacentral:rRNA from 1 species
GGGGAAAAAUUAAUUAUUUAUAUUAUAAAAAAAAAAUUUUUAAAUAAAAAUAUUUUAAAGGGGGGUUAAAGUAUUUUUAUAGAAAAAAUUAAAUAAUUUAUAGUAAAUUAGUAUUGUGAAAGAAUUUUGAAAUAAUUGAAAAAUAAAUUAAUUAAAAGUAAUUUUAAUUUAAUGUAUCUUGGGUAUCAGAGUUUAUUAAUAAAAAUUUUUAAAAAAAAAAUUCUCGAAUUUAAAAGAGAUAAUUAAUUAAUAAAGUUAUUGUAGCAUAAAUAUUUUAAAUAAUUAAUUGGAAAUGAAAUGUUAAUCGUUUUUAAAUAUAUCUAGUUUUUUUAGAAAAAAAUUUAAUUUUUUAUUAUUUUAUAAAUAAAUUAAUUAAUUAAUUUAUUUAUAAAAUAAUAUUAUAUUUUAGGGGAUAAGCUUUAAUUUAAAAUUAUAUAAAUAAAUUAAUUAUUAUAAUUGAAAUUUAUAUAAUUUAUAUUGUUAAUAAAAUUUAAUUUAUUAUAAAUAAUUUCAUUUAAAAUAAAAUUUAAUAAGAUUUUAUAUAUUUAUAAAAAAAAAUUUUUUAAUAUGGAAAAAAUUAUUAUAAUGAUAAAAUUAGUAUAUUAAAAAUAAAAUAAUAUUAUUAUUUUAAAUAAAAUUAAUUAAAAGGAAUUCGGCAAAAAUUUAUAUUCACUUGUUUAUCAAAAACAUGUCUUUUUGUAAAUAAUAUAAAGUCUAAUCUGCCCACUGAUUUAAAAAAUUAAAGGGCUGCAGUAUAUUGACUGUACAAAGGUAGCAUAAUCAUUAGUCAUUUAAUUGAUGACUUGUAUGAAGGAUUGGAUGAAAUAUAAACUGUCUCUUAAUUAAAUAUAGAAUUUAAUUUUUUAAUCAAAAAGUUAAAAUAAGUUAAAAAGACGAGAAGACCCUAUAGAGUUUUAUAAAUAAAAUUAAUUAAGAUUAUAUAUAAAUAUAAUUAAAAUUAUCAAAAUUAAUUUAUUUAUUUUGUUGGGGUGACAAAAAAAUAUAAUAAACUUUUUUUUUAUAGAAAACAUAUAUAAGUGAUUAUUUGAUCCAAUAAUAUUGAUUAUAAGAAAAAAUUACCUUAGGGAUAACAGCGUAAUUUUUUUUUUUAGUUCAAAUAAGAAAAAGAGUUUGCGACCUCGAUGUUGGAUUAAGAUAAAAUUUAAAUGCAGAAGUUUAAAAUUUUGAUCUGUUCGAUCAUUAAAAUCUUACAUGAUCUGAGUUCAAACCGGUGUAAGCCAGGUUGGUUUCUAUCUUUUAAUAAAUAAAAUAUUUUAGUACGAAAGGAUUAAAUAUUUAAAUUAAAUUUAUAUUUUUUUUUUGAAU